AUUAUGAUUACAGGGGCAGAUUAUUGAUUAGUAAAGACUUAUUUUUCAACAGUUCCUUGCACAAUACUAUGUUAUUACCUCAAAACUCUUGAAUUGAACGCUUGAAUUGAAUAAACAAAUACAUUUUGAUGUUUGCAUCACGUAACCAGCUCCAUAUAUAUGGCUUUUCUGACGUAGUAAACUUGCUUGGUAACUCACCUGGUACAGCAUUGCACUCGGGUACGAGUCCUAUAAGUCCCGACACUCGAUAAAAGAGCUCAAAGACUUUUGUGUGAACAAAACUGUUAGAAUGUUGCUAUUCAAAAUAAGCAAUGAUGUAAUUGUAAUAUUUGCAUUGUAAAGUGUGAUUGGUUUACCUCCUUGUAUUUAGUCCAGUAUAACUUUUCUAACUUUGAUGUUAACUAAAACACUCUUGUCUUGCAGCACUGGUAUUUUCUUUUUUGCGUUGGUGGACUUAGGUUCUGACUAGGUUCAGUGACCUACGUGCGCUCUUUAUGCAAACCCUUAAUUGGUCUUCUCGGUGGUGUGUGAUCUGUCCAGUGUGUGAUCUGAUGUCCAGAUGAAUUUCUAUUGCGAGUUUGAGAAGGAUUUAGGAAUUAUCUUGUCUCUGCUCUUCUGAGAGGUGGAAACGGACAGAGCUGUCAUCCCCGCCGGAUCUCUGGCAUGUGAUCAAACGGCAAAGCCUGCAGAUUAUGUACAUCUAAGGCCUGUGACCUCACCGCGGCCCCAACCAGCUGUGUGUGUUCGGUGGCCCUGAUCUUUGUUGCAACUCUUCGCAGGGCAGUUGAGGCCUCUCUUUCUCUGUGUGUACAUAUCAAGUUCUCAGUUUGUUGGUUUAAGCAGCUGUUAUUGCUGUUAAAAGCUCAAGCGCCCCCUUCAACCCCUCCUGCACACAAACACGAACACAUACGGAUGGCGUUCUGUGUUACCCCCCUUCCGUUGGCUUACACUGAUGUCCUUGUGUAGUACGGAGGCUGGUGCAGCAGGCACAGGGGACGGCGGGCUCGAAAGUACGCUGCAACUGGCGGCAGAACGGCAGCAGGCUUGGUGGUCCAGCCUUGUUUACCGUGCCGGGCCGAGCCAGGCUUGUUUAAACAAACCUGGGUGCCUGCGUAAGCUUCCCCUCAUUCGCUUCACGUCAUCAGCUCUGGAGCUACUGCCCUGGACCCUCUUCCCUGGAGCUUCGCAAACUAUUUAUGCCAGACACGCCACUGCUGUCCGCAAGUAUGAGGCUGUGUGUGUGCGCUAAAGAAUGGGAAAAUUACCUAAGAUAUGUAAACACAAGAUAAUCUGUGUGUAAAUUAGCACGCAUGUGUGCACGUUUUUCUGUAAGUAGGCUGCCACAAGCUUGCAUGUUAACGUUGUUAGGUUUUUACAGAGCAAAUCCCAGAUCAAAAGUUCUUUAUUCUGCAAGACUUCUGCUGGCCUGGAUGAGUGGCUGGCUGUGUUGGAAAAUGAAGUCAGUUAUGUGCUCUUUCACCUGCACCAGAGAGCAAAUAAAAACCUUAUGCACUACCGCAGGAAACUCCCUCCAUGCAAACUCACCCUCAGACCAGAACGUUUUCAGCAUGCAGAUUUGUUUCAGUAACCUCAGUAUACCUCUGCUUUAUCAUCAGAGCUCGGAAAAAGCUGUUGACAUGUGAAUUACCAGGACCGGUGGCGCCACAUAGCAGCAUUGCCGAUGUGGCACAAGCACACAGUCAGACCUGACCAGCAUACACAGACUUCAAAAUCAGGAAAAUGCUGAAACAGAAACCAUUGGAAUUGGAAGCGGCAGAAGAGUUUAUCCGAGGGCUGUCACACCAUACAGCUCUGCGGGCCUGCAGAGAGGCCUGGCUGUCCGUCUGCGGCCCUGGCACUUCCCAUCUGCCCCCUAACUGCCCUUCUUUACUAGCCCCCUGCAAUCAGAAUGUAUACCCUCCCCACGAACCGUCCCUCUCCAGACAUCAGCCCUGCUACCGACAGUGUGAUGUACACAACUUAGCCAAUCAGAACGUGUCUCGAAGAUAACUGCAGUGAACUUGCAUGCCGAUUUUCUUCAACCCUUCUCAUCAGAAGACACUCCUGUCGAGGUGUUAACUUCCGUGGACGACAUGGACGUCUCUGUGACAUGGUUGCAGUUCUAUCUUUUUUAAAUUUUUGUACCUCUUUUGCUACAGUAUUCUGACUGAUAAGUAAAGCUUUGCUGAUCUUCUUGUAGCCUUCACCUUCCUGGUGUAAAGGAAUUAUUUUCUUUCUCAAGUCUUGUGACAUUUCUCUUCCAUGUGGUGCCAUUGCUGACAGCAUGAAAUGGGAAGGGGUUUUAACACCCUUUUAUAGUCAACUGUCUGCUGGACACCUGUGUAAUGAAUAAUUAGACUCACCUGUGGUUGAAUUCUUGUUAAAUUAGACAUUUGUAGUCUAAAAUUUAGCUUUGCUCCAGAAACUUUCAGUGGGGUGUACUCAUUUUUGCAUCAUCCUAAUUUGAGUAAAACUGAAAAUUUUGUUCUCUAAGUUAUAUUAUUAACCUUACUUUCAUGUUAUAAGUUAAACAGAUGUUAUAUAAAACAUUUUGGAAAUUGUUUUUGUGUUCAUUAAGAUAUUGUUUAAAAUGUUACUUUUCAAAGGGGGUGUACUCAUUUACACUGAGCACUGUACAUGAAGGUAAACACUACAUUGACUCUAUAAGCAAUUACUGCGGUGAUGCCAGUGACAAGUAAUAUAUUACUUGUUCAUUAAAUAUACAUGUUAAAUAAAUGCUAUGAUAGCUGUUGAUUUGAACUGAAAAAGAUAAGAUUAAUUGGUUCCAGGGCUACAACUCUGGUAGUUGGAGCAACUUAAUUUUUUUUUGAGUAAUUUGAGUAACUUAACGUGCAAAAAUGUGUUUAUGCGACAAAUUGUUAAGUUCUUCUAACUCAAUGUAGCUUGUUGGUUGAACGUAAAUUCGCUCAAAGUUGUCAAAACUCAAAAAAAAAAAAAAAAAAAACUCAUAUAAUAACUCUGACGACUAAAAUUUAACGUAACUGAAAGUUACUGAAAUUGAAAAUCAUCUCCUUCGCAGUAGCUUUCAAACAUCAUUCACAUUUGUGUAUAUUUAAGUUGUUGCACCACGAAACUCAUGACUGAAUGAUGUUUGACGUUGUUUAAGACAAACUUGGCACAAUGCGAGUGUAAACGAUUUGAAAGCUACAGCAGACUUUGAAGAUUUCCAAUACUGCAUCAGUUAAAUGGGCUAUUUUCUGUCCUUUUUGGAGCUUGACAGCUCCAGUUCACAUUUACUUUCAAUGAAUGGAAAAUUUUGUGCUACAACUCUCCUACUGAGUUUCAUGGAUAAAAGAAAGUCAGAUGGAUUCGGAACAACAUGAGGGUGAAUAAAUGACAGAAUUUAAAUUUUUUUGUGAACUAUUUCUGUAGCUCUAAGGGUCAGCGAGAGGGUGGAAAAUGGUCACGCAAAACUAAAUUAUGAAUGUAUUUGGUGGAAGAACCAAGAAACAUUAUUAGUGGACUUCAGGGGAAAAUAAAUUGUUACAAUGAUUUAGAAUAUGGUUCCCUUAACAUUUUCCUUUCUAGUCAACAACAACUGUAAUUGUUGUAUAUAUGUGAUACAGGCUAUGCUGUAAUGUAACAGACAUAAAUUUGUCCUGGGCUGCAUGGAAUUUACCAAGAACACUGGUGAUACAGAAAACAAUGAUUAAAUAUUUCAGUAUAUAGACAGUGAAUAUAUUUCUCUUGUAAUCCUUACACUAAGGUGCCAGAAGGUCUGGACACUUGAGACAUGUCAGGAUAAAAGGACCGGGAUCUUACAAUUGCAGUUAUUAUGGGUCUUUUGCAUAGUCCCGUUUGUCUAUUGUUUCCUCUCCAUGUGAAGAACUCAGAUUUCUUACCUGUGCAGAGACCGGGCAGCUCAGGUGAUGGGAGUAGGUUGCAGACAAAGAGUGGUUUUGGGGUUGGUCAUGGGUUUAGAUGAGGGCUGUUUUGGUGUAGUACUUGAUGUAAGGUGUUUCAGGGGGUUAUUAGAGGGUUCUGGAGCAGAGCUGUGUGGGCGGCAGUGGCAGAGGGACAGCUGGGCAGCAGGAGUGCCAAACUGAGAUCAGAGAGCUCAUCUUACAGUCACUGAAUAUCCAAUACCCCUUUCAUUCUCUGUCACACACUUAUGUGUAUACUGUAUAUAAACACACAAAACCACACAAUGUCACGCUCUAAACCCUUUUCAGACUCACUAACAGUUUCACUCACCAAUGGACUGCAGGCUACUGUAACCAG